GAUGAACGCUGGCGGCGUGCCUAAUACAUGCAAGUCGAGCGAAUGGAUUAAGAGCUUGCUCUUAUGAAGUUAGCGGCGGACGGGUGAGUAACACGUGGGUAACCUGCCCAUAAGACUGGGAUAACUCCGGGAAACCGGGGCUAAUACCGGAUAACAUUUUGAACCGCAUGGUUCGAAAUUGAAAGGCGGCUUCGGCUGUCACUUAUGGAUGGACCCGCGUCGCAUUAGCUAGUUGGUGAGGUAACGGCUCACCAAGGCAACGAUGCGUAGCCGACCUGAGAGGGUGAUCGGCCACACUGGGUCUGAGACACGGCCCAGACUCCUACGGGAGGCAGCAGUAGGGAAUCUUCCGCAAUGGACGAAAGUCUGACGGAGCAACGCCGCGUGAGUGAUGAAGGCUUUCGGGUCGUAAAACUCUGUUGUUAGGGAAGAACAAGUGCUAGUUGAAUAAGCUGGCACCUUGGCGGUACCUAACCAGAAAGCCACGGCUAACUACGUGCCAGCCGCCGCCGUAA
rnacentral:rRNA from 1 species